AGUGAACGCUGGCGGCGUGCUUAACACAUGCAAGUCGAACGAGAACGGGUUAUAGCUUGCUAUAAUUGUCAGCUAAGUGGCGCACGGGUGAGUAAUGUAUAGGUAAUAUGCCUCUUACUAAGGGAUAACAAAUGGAAACGUUUGCUAAUACCUUAUACUCCUUAUUAACAGAAGUUAAUAAGGGAAAGAUUUAUUGGUAAGAGAUUAGCCUGUAUUGUAUCAGUUAGUUGGUGGGGUAAUGGCCUACCAAGACUAUGACACAUAACUGGUUUGGGAGGAUGAUCAGUCACACUGGAACUGAGACACGGUCCAGACUCAUACGGGAGGCAGCAGUGGGGAAUAUUGCACAAUGGACGAAAGUCUGAUGCAGCAACGCCGCGUGGAGGAUGACACAUUUCGGUACGUAAACUCCUUUUAUAUGAGAAGAUAAUGACGGUAUUAUAUGAAUAAGCACCGGCUAACUCCGUGCCAGCAGCCGCCGUAACAC
rnacentral:rRNA from 1 species